UUGGCAGGCUGAAGUCCUCUGUUUAUCCAAAAGACAAGUACAGCAGCGGCAGCCAACAAUCUAAGUUUCCCCAAACUGCCUCAUGAAUGUUGCUUCAACCAUUAGCUGAAAGGGAUAGGGAUAAGAGAUUAGUGCUUCAUAGCUGAGACUGAGACAUAGCAUUU
rnacentral:sRNA from 1 species